UUCGUGUGAACAGUGGUUGAUCACGAGUUAGUCGGUCCUAAGUUCAAGGCGAAAGCCGAAAAUUUUCAAGUAAAAUGCAAUGUUUUUAUAUAUAUAAUAUUAUUAUAUACAUAUAAUGUUAAUUUUAAACACUUGAAUAAUUUUGAACGAAAGGGAAUACGGUUCCAAUUCCGUAACCUGUUGAGUAUCCGUUUGUUAUUAAAUAUGGGCCUCGUGCUCAUCCUGGCAACAGGAACGACCAUAAAGAAGCCGUCGAGAGAUAUCGGAAGAGUUUUCUUUUCUGUUUUAUAGCCGUACUACCAUGGAAGUCUUUCGCAGAGAGAUAUGGUAGAUGGGCUAGAAGAGCAUGACAUAUACUGUUGUGUCGAUAUUUUCUCCUCGGACCUUGAAAAUUUAUGGUGGGGAUACGCAAACUUCUCAACAGGCCGUACCAAUAUCCGCAGCUGGUCUCCAAGGUGAAGAGUCUCUAGUCGAUAGAAUA
rnacentral:rRNA from 1 species